UGCCAGCCGCCGCGGUUAUACGAGAGACCCAAGUUGUUAGGCAUCGGCGUAAAGGGUGGUUAAGGCAAAUACCCAAACUAAAGCCGAACAUCUUCCAAGCCGUCAUACGCACACGAAGACAAGAAGCCCAAUAACGAAAGUGGCUCUAACCUGCCUGAACCCACGAAAGCUAUGACACAAACUGGGAUUAGAUACCCCACUAUGCCUAGCCCUAAACAUUGACAGUAAAUUCACUAACUGUCCGCCUGGGAACUACGAGCACCAGCUUAAAACCCAAAGGACUUGGCGG
rnacentral:rRNA from 1 species